GCCUGGCCUGCUGUAUUCCUCCAGCUCCACACUGUGUUAUCUCUGACUCCAGCAACGGCAGUCCUUACUAUCUCUGGUUCAGUCUGUUGUUGUUAUUCAACAGUAUCAGACCAAGUUGAGGAAACGUGAGCAGGAGAUCCUAUUUAUUACUGUGUUUCUUAAUGCAAAGGCAUAUUUACUGUGAUGGUAAGGAAGGAGAUGGAAGCUAACAGGGGAGACUGAAAAUUGAACGAGAAUUGGAGACAGCUUCAUAGAGAUUUUGUUUUGAUAGUGUCAGUGAGAUUUUAGCCAAAAGAAAAUGGACGCCAACUGGGUUCGAUUGUUUAAUAAUAAAGUAUUGGAUCUGGAACAUACCAAUGACUGGAAUAUCACAAAAGAUGACAACUUAGUACCAUAGAGAGCACCCACAGGAUGGAAUUUAUAUAAGGCAUCUUCAUUUGCAAGAUUUCACUGUUCAACUUGUCACAAUAGCUGGGCUUCUGCAAAGGCACUAAUUAUUUUCAAUAUGAAACUGCAGAAUGGUGUAGGAGAGGUGAAGGUGCGAUUCUUCAAACAGCAGUGCCGACGAAGCCAUUUGGCAGAAGCCAACUUUGUAGAACCUGUGUUUGAUGAAGAAAAUAUCAAACAAGUUCUGAAUCACUUAAUGGCAAAGAUCAGCAACACUGUUAUCGUGAAAGUGUUGGAAAUCGCACAACCUGGCAUGAAAGUAAUGUCAAAGUGCAGGGACCACAUGAGAAAAAGCAUUGCGAAGCUUGCAAGUUAGGAAUCUGCACAGAAUAUUACUGACCAGAGGCCUGACCUUUUCAUUUAGCUCAAAGUUUGGAAUCCUGAUAAAUUCUGUGAUGCAAACUAUAGUUAGAAUCAUAAUCAUAAUCAUGUUUUAAAUAAUACAAUAAUGCUUAAAAUUUUUGACCAUUAUUUCUAUACUUGUGCCUUCAAAUAUCCAUUGUGAUCACGUUUUAUUUCAAUUUAUGUUGAUCUGUAUGUAUUGUCAUAAUCUGGAAGACAAUGUUUAAAAUAUGGUGGAAGCAACUCAAUACUUUAAAAAGGAAAUUAGCUAAGUACCUGAAUGGGAAAAAAAAAAGAACUGUAGAAGCUUUGGACAAAGAAUAGGGUAGUGUGAUUUAAUGGAUGGCUUUUUCAAAAAACUGUCACUUUUUGGUCUGUGCGACUUCCUGUAUGGCCUGAUUUUUUAUACAAUUAAAAUGAUGAAUUCAGUGCAAUAUCAGCAGUGAAUGCAAUUGAAUGUCUUAGGAUGAUUCAAAAAGAAACUUGAAAUUUGUAAUGUUUUCUUUCUGGAACCCUAUUAAAAUUAAAAUAAAAAUAUAUGAGUGACAA